CCCGGUGGACGAGAAGAUGAGAGAAGCGAGGCUGAGGUGGUUCGGGCAUGUUCGGAGGAGGGACCCCGAUGCCCCGGUAAGGAGCUGCGAGCGGCUGGAGAUUGUGGGUGGUCGGCGAGGGAGCUGGAGGUCUAGAAUCAGGAUUGUAGGCUAGGGACUUCUAGAGUCCGUCGUUCGCAUCUCUCGGGGUUGGGUGUGGGAUAUCUAGGGUUUCCCAUA
rnacentral:lncRNA from 1 species